rnacentral:rRNA from 1 species
GACGAACGCUGGCGGCGUGCUUAACACAUGCAAGUCGAACGGUAAGGCCCUUCGGGGUACACGAGUGGCGAACGGGUGAGUAACACGUGGGUGAUCUGCCCUGCACUUCGGGAUAAGCCUGGGAAACUGGGUCUAAUACCGGAUAGGACCACUGCCUGCAUGGGUGGUGGUGGAAAGCUUUUGCGGUGUGGGAUGGGCCCGCGGCCUAUCAGCUUGGUGGUGGGGUGAUGGCCUACCAAGGCGACGACGGGUAGCCGGCCUGAGAGGGGGACGGGCCACACUGGGACUGAGAUACGGCCCAGACUCCUACGGGAGGCAGCAGGGGGGAAUAUUGCACAAGGGGCGCAAGCCUGAUGCAGCGACGCCGCGUGAGGGAUGACGGCCUUCGGGUUGUAAACCUCUUUCAGCACCGACGAAGCGCAAGUGACGGUAGGUGCAGAAGAAGGACCGGCCAACUACGUGCCAGCCGCCGCCGUAA